CCUACGGGAGGCAGCAGUGAGGAAUAUUGGUCAAUGGGCGCUAGCCUGAACCAGCCAAGUAGCGUGAAGGAUGACUGCCCUAUGGGUUGUAAACUUCUUUUAUAUGGGAAUAAAGUGUAGUAUGUAUACUGCUUUGCAUGUACCUUAUGAAUAAGGAUCGGCUAACUCCGUGCCAGCAGCCGCGGUAAUACGGAGGAUCCGAGCGUUAUCCGGAUUUAUUGGGUUUAAAGGGAGCGUAGGCGGGUUGUUAAGUCAGUUGUGAAAGUUUGCGGCUCAACCGUAAAAUUGCAGUUGAUACUGGCAGCCUUGAGUACAGUAGAGGUAGGCGGAAUUCGUGGUGUAGCGGUGAAAUGCUUAGAUAUCACGAAGAACUCCGAUUGCGAAGGCAGCCUGCUGGACUGUAACUGACGCUGAUGCUCGAAAGUGUGGGUAUCAAACAGGAUUAGAUACCCCAGUAGUC
rnacentral:rRNA from 1 species